rnacentral:tRNA from 1 species
GUAAUGUUGGUAUAGUGGUUAGCGAGUGAGGCUACCAUUCUAAUAGUCAGGGGUUCGAACCCCACAAUUGACA